UCCUGUGAAGGCGGGAGCCAUAUGAGGCAUACAUGAAUCCAGUUUACUGCUUGGAGCCAAGCCCAAUUGAAUCCAACCUAGGAGAGUGACGUCUAUAAAAUUUUAUGCAAAUGAAUGGAGCACUGAGAAGCCUGAUAAGUAAACAGUAGCAGACUGAGAAAGAGCCAGAAUUCAGAUGUACCACGGAAUCAAACCUUGACAAAGCUAAGUGAUGGAUGAGCAACUUGGAAAGAAGCUGUGUCCACGAAUCACCAUGAGCAAUGGACCUUCGUGGAUUUGAAUAAUUCACAUCAGAGCUGUUAAGCAAAAGAGAAAUAA